rnacentral:rRNA from 1 species
UACUAGUGGUAAUCUACCUUUAACUUGGGAUAACGAUUGGAAACGAUCGCUAAUACCGAAUGUGGUGAACUAAAGAAUCUUUAGUUUAUUAAAGUAGGGGAUCGUAAGACCUUGCGGUUAAAGAGGAGCCCAUGAGAUAUCAGCUAGUUGGUGUGGUAAAGGCGCACCAAGGCUAAGACGUCUAGGCGGAUUGAGAGAUUGACCGCCAACACUGGGACUGAGAACUGCCCAGACUCCUACGGGAGGCUGCAGUCGAGAAUCAUUCGCAAUGGGCGAAAGCCUGACGAUGCGACGCCGUGUGAGCGAAGAAGGCCUUAGGGUUGUAAAGCUCUUUCGCUUGGGAAUAAGAAAAGCCGGCUAAUAUCCGGCUAAUUUGAACGUACCAGGUAAAGAAGCACCGGCUAACUCCGUGCCAGCAGCUGCGGUAAUACGGAGGGUGCAAGCAUUAAUCGGAUUUAUUG